rnacentral:tRNA from 1 species
GGUGUGGUAGUCCCGAGGAUUUUAACCUUGUAAGUUAAAGGUGGCCAACAAUAGGCCCCACACCU